ACCUCUCCUCUAUAAAGAAGCCCUUCCUUCUGACUGAACUCACUGCAGCAGGACCUUCACUUGUAACACAGAAGAAAACUAAAGAAGUGGACAGCAUCCAUCAGACAUCUCUCUCCAACAAAUAAGAUGGCUGGUCUGUGCUGGAUGGCGGUGAUGCUGGCCUUCGUUCUGUCUGUUGGAAACAGUGUGGAUGCUGUGACCCCGGAGAUCCUUGCUAGAUUUGUAGAUCGCAUCUUAGGAAAGUACGGAACUGAUGGCAUGUUCAGUUUGGCUGUAAUGAUCCCACAGAACCAGAACCAGAACCAGGACCAGAACUUUCAGCAAGUCUUUAAAACUGAUCUUGGUAACAAAGUGAGGAAUAUGAUGAACAAAAACCAGGUGUACAUCGGCAACAGGGUGGUUGCAGCCAAAUUUCUGAAAGGAGCUGAUCAUGCAGAGUUACGUGUUUUGGCCAAUAUGCAAGGCUUGCUCGACCAUCAUAAUGCUGAAGAUAAUUUUUUGCUUUUCUAUGUUUAUG